rnacentral:rRNA from 1 species
CCUACGGGCGGCAGCAGUAGGGAAUCUUCCACAAUGGGCGAAAGCCUGAUGGAGCAACGCCGCGUGGGUGAAGAAGGUCUUCGGAUCGUAAAACCCUGUUGUUAGAGAAGAAAGUGCGUGAGAGUAACUGUUCACGUGUAGACGGUAGCUAACCAGAAAGACACGGCUAACUACGUGCCAGCAGCCGCGGUAAUACGUAGGUGGCAAGCGUUAACCGGAUUUAAGUGGCGUAAAGGGAACGCAGGCGUUCUUUUAAGUCUGAUGUGCAAGCCUUCGGCUUAACCGGAGUAGUGCAGUGGAAACUGGUAGACUUUAUUGCAGCAGAGGAGAGUGGAACUCCAUGUGUAGCGGU